rnacentral:rRNA from 1 species
CCUCCUUUGUUCCUCCUUUCUUACUAUUUUUCAAUUUACUCAAUUCUUAACCAGCCAUUCCGCGUGCAGGAAGACGGCUCUAUGAGUUGUAAACUGCUUUUGUACGAGGGUAAACGCAGAUACGCGUAUCUGUCUGAAAGUAUCGUACGAAUAAGGAUCGGCUAACUCCGUGCCAGCAGCCGCGGUAAUACGGAGGAUUCAAGCGUUAUCCGGAUUUAUUGGGUUUAAAGGGUGCGUAGGCGGUAUGUCAAGUCAAGGGUGAAAUCCCCGCGCUCAACGUGGGAACUGCCUUUGAAACUGGCAAACUGGAGUGUGUGAGAGGAUAGUGGAAUUCCAGGUGUAGGAGUGAAAUCCGUAGAUAUCUGGAGGAACAUCAGUGGCGAAGGCGACUAUCUGGCACAUAACUGACGCUGAGGAGCGAAAGCGUGGGUAGCAAACAGGAUUAGAUACCCGUGUAGUC